CGCACAUUGCGCCCCUUGGUAUUCCGGGGGGCAUGCCUGUUCGAGCGUCACUACAACCUUCAAGCUCUGCUUGGUAUUGGGCCCCGCCAGCGAUGGCGAGCCUUAAAAUCAGUGGCGGUGCCGCUGGGCCCUGAGCGUAGUAAUUACUCCUCGCUACUGGGUCCCGGUGGAUGCUGGCCAUCAACCCCCAAUUUUUCUUACGGUUGACCUCGGAUCAGGUAGGGAUACCCGCUGAACUUAA
rnacentral:misc_RNA from 1 species